GGUUGAUCCUGCCGGAUGUCACUGCUAUCGGGUUCGAUUAAGCCAUGCGAGUCUGAGAGGGUUCAGACCCUCGGCGGACUGCUCAGUAACACGUGGAUAACCUGACCUGUGGUGGAGCAUAACCCCGGAGAAACUGGGGAUAAUACUCCAUAAGUAACGAAAUCUGGAAUGAUUUGUAGCUCAAAGCUCCGGCGCCACAGUGAUGUGAUCUGCGGCCGAUUAGGUAGUAGUUGGGGUAGAGUGCCCAACUAGCCUGUAAUCGGUACGGGUUGUGGGAGCAAGAGCCCGGAGAUGGAAUCUGAGACACGAUUCCAAGGCCCUACGGGGCGCAGCAGUGCUGCGAAAACUUUACAAUGCAGGAAACUGUGAUAAGUGGAACCCCAAGUGCCCAGUACACAGCGGGCUGUCUGGGUGUUUAAAAUGCACCCAAAGUAAAGGGCCGGGCUAAUACCUGGUGCCUGCCGCCGCGGGAACAUACCGGGGCUCAAGUGGUGACCACAUAUAAUAGGGCUUAACAGCGUACGUUGCUGGACUGUAAGUCCCUUGGGCACUCCGCCGGAUAACCCGGCGGGAGUCUACGGGAUACUGGCAAUCAUGGGACCGCGAACAGGUAAGACGUACAUCUGGAGGGUACGCAGUGACAUCCUGGUCAACACCGGGGUGACAACCGGU
rnacentral:rRNA from 1 species